GGGGUUGUAGCUCAACGGUAGAGCACUUGCCUUGAACACAUGAAACCCUGGGUUCAAUCCCCAGCACCA
rnacentral:tRNA from 1 species